ACACAGCUAAAAUUUUUAACACGGUGCCCAACGAGAAACCUGAUCUGAUCUUUCAUGUUUUCGACCUUACACGAGCACAAAUUUUAUAUCUUACAGGGUGCCCAACUGAGAUAAAUAAGCACAAAUUUUAUCUGAUUAAACAUCAGGAGGUGUACCACGGGAGGAAAAAAUUGUUAGACGUCGUUGGUAUAUUUAUUAUAUCUUUUGCCUGCUAUUGGGUUUCCGUUUAGUGCAGCAAAAGGAGAAAUGACCUAGAAGCUGACCUCCUGACGACUGAAGAAAUACCCGAAAAUUUUCUCAGGCAAAGAUCCUAGCAGACUCGGCGGAUGAAGAGAGACGGACCUAUUCUCGCUGACCGUGCUAACCGUCGAGGCAGUGGCGUUCCGGCUGGUGCUGUCGUCCGAGGACGCCGAUGAUUUAUCCCCGCACGAGCUCGUGCCCAUCUCACAAUAGUCCUCAGUCACCCCGUUUCUGUCCACGGCACACAGGUACGGCAGGUACUGCAUAACGGCGUCGUUCUGCUCCCGUGAACUCGAUCCUUGAGUGGUCAACGAUCAUGGGCGCGGGGCCGAGGAUGACCACCUCCAACGCGAUGGACAACUCGUCGCCACGGGGGAACCGCAGACGGAGCAAGAGCGAGAGGCACAAGGUGCCCGCGGGCGACGAAGAUGCAUCUUUUUUCCUGCUGCUCGUCUGGAAGGUUCUCUUGGCCAAGCACAUGACAUAUUUAUCUGGAGGUCGUUCGUCUUCAUAUGAUGCCUUUCUGACCAUUGAACCAGGAUCGUGUGGCUACAAUGAAAUGCGAUG
rnacentral:lncRNA from 1 species